ACCUCGAAAGUCGUAUCUGUUUAACGAUAGCUCCGUUCUCAACCGUUCUUGCGUUGUCACGAUCGUAGCAAUAAGCCGUGUCGUUUAGUGCGCUCUUUCUAAGCUUUUCUUUUGAUUGAUGCUUGUUCUUAGUCGUGAUUGUUUGUUUGUCUGUUGGUGUUGCUUGUUUGCUACGAGUAGAAGAAGCGUGGUUCAUCAACAGUGAAGAUCAGGAGCUGAGGACCGACAGUCGAAGCAAAAGUUGGAGAUCAGAAGAAAGAAGCCAAAGAAUUCUGAGCAGAUAUACACUAGGAAUUAAGGCAAGUGCAGACACCGUUUGAUCAUUUUGAACCUAUUCAUUAAUGCCAUUUACUUUAUACGCAUGUGUCCAAUGAAUGCAAACCCUAAGGACAUGACUAGCUUUACUUACUAUUCCUUGUUCACCUGGGGUUUUGUAUAUGGGUAGUUUAGGCUAUACUAGGUUUGCUUAGCUGCUCUACUCAUCUUAUACACAUGCCUAAACAAGUAUUACUCUCUACAUAACUUGAUGCUUAAACUGUGCUGAACCUUUGGUCAUUGCGGUGAUGGCGAUGUUGGAUGCUUACGAGCAUCGUGAUGAUGGUGGCGACAGGGGGAGCGGGUACUGUUGGUGGUCCGGUUUGCCGGGCGUACCCGUCUCUGCUCUCCGUAAGGACUUAGUCAGGGAGCGGCCCCCUGGGACAUACAGUGCAGCUCCAAGCUAUAUGGCUCUGGCUUGACUAAUUAGCAGGACCUCCACUAGUAGGGUGUUACUUUCCGGGUAGGCGUGAGGAAGUAACUUGGGUAAUGAAUAUUAAGUUGUCUGUUGAUCGGUACGCCAUGGCUAUGGGUAUCGACUGCCGAGCGCUCCGGUAAAAACUUGCGAGUGGCAUCCUAUUAGUUGGACCCUGUGAAAGGUCUCGUAGUGAGACCCUGCCUGCUCACCUUGGCACUGUUUUGGGGAGUCAUGACCCCGGGCAAAUGGGAAUCACGACUUGGAGUGAACGUGCACACCUCUGCAGAGUGUAAAACUGAUAUAUCAGCCGUGCUCACGGUCACGAGCGGCCCAGACCCUCACUUGAUGAGCAAAUUGGAUUCACUGGAUACUUGGAGAUGGAACUUGGCGAGGUUGCUACCUCGUGUUUUGGCGGAAUGGCUAUUCCGUGUUGGCAGAAUUGCUAUCCUGUGUUAAUAAUUGGGGUUAAUCCCUGGACUACUAUAAUUAUAAUUAUUAGGAUAGUCAUUUAAAAGAUGCUAAUCACUACUUACACUAAUAAAGGGUUGGGUUUAUGCUACUCAUAAUUAGUAGUAGGUUGUUCUAAUAAUAGUCAUAAUUAAAAGUGAUCAACUAAAAUGCUACCGCAGUCAAACCAAGUCAGCUUUACCUUGUUUUAAGCCUUGCAUGUCAUUACUUUCCGUCUGUGCUUGCUGAGUUCGACAUGAACUCACCCUUGCUAUUCCCCCCCACACCCCAGUGUGUAGUAAAGUGCUGCUCAGAAGAAGAACAAAGAUGCUAUGGAGUUUUCUAGAAGCUUAUCAGAAGUGCUUGGUGUACGGAGCCCCCAGUCAACCGUCCCUGAGAAGAAUGGAGCCUAAGAAGUUUAGCUACUGUUUCCGCGUACUCUGAUGUUUGUAAGUGUUAAUAUAAAUAUGUUUUCCGCUAUAUAUAACAUUGUUUCUGAUAUUUCUAUUCUUUUGUUAUAUGUGUGGACUUCCUGGGCACACAUAUGACGACUCUGGUCUUAUUUUAAAAGCCAGGGUGUGACACAUAUCAUAUCCGUUAACGACUAAGACUUUAGAUCAAGUACUCUUCCCAUAGGUUCAGGUUUAGAGUAGGUUUAAAUUAUAACAGUCAUGCCUAAACUUGAGAGAGAGCUCAAAUUUGAAAACUAGGUACAUGUCAGAGCAACUAUUUAUCAUAUCCAUGUAAGAGUUUAUCAUUUAAGUUCAGUUUGGCCUAGACACUUUAUUUAUUUAUUUAGCAAACUAAGCAAAGAUAUAUAUAUAAGCACACAAUUUUUAUUUGGGUUUUCAUGAUUAUGCAUCUUUUUCUUAUUUGAGUAAAGUAUAAACGUGAGUAGAAACACUUAGCUGGAUAAAUGGGGGUGCUCUCCCCCAAGCUAGAUUUUGACGUAAUUUCUUCUGAUGUAGCUAGCAGGUGACGGAGGUGUAUUUGAAUGUCGGCAGCACCCUGACAGCGAUUAGGAUGUCCUUCGUCUGCUAGUCUUCUUUGAUCCUUGAAUUCUGUGGAGCUCAAAUAGACAACAAAGCUUUGUGGACUAGUUAAGUGUUAGCAUAAAUAUCUAGCCUUUAUCAUGUGUAGCCUCCUCAAUAAAUGUUACUCUCUUUAGUAGGAUCAUAAUUUUUUUUUAUUUUUAUUUUUUUAUAGGACAGGAAUAUAUUUAUUUUAUUUUUAUGCCACCACAGUGAAUGUAUUUAUGGGUUUUAUGCCAUGAGCAUACUCACAUGAGGCUUACUAUUUUUAACAUUUUUUUUCGAGAUGAUAUGAACCUAAUUAUUUUAAAUAAUUGAAAGGAGAAGGAUAACUACCAAGUUUACCUCUUGGCGAGACGUUCGGUGUUUUUAAGUCCUCCGAACAGGACUCUCCGUUUUCUCAGUCGUCCUGGGAUUCGCUGGAUGGCAUAGUUGGUGGUUCCGGCGGCGCCUCCUCUUCGUGUAUAACUAUCUUCUCUCUCCAUACCUGACUCGGUGCUACGGUCUCCUCAGGACAGUUCUGUUCAAUCUGUAUGUCUUCCUUCGUAGUCUGCCCAUCCGUCCUUGAUGAUUUGCCUCCUCUGGUUGUAGUUGCGUCGUCUUCUUCUUGUCCUCACCUGCUUAGAGUCUUCAACUAUAUAGUUAGGGUCAGUAAAAUAGUGGCGUACCUUCUCAGUGGGGAAGUGCAUGUGGACUUCUCCGGCUCCAAUAUAGAUGAUAACUUUGAUAAUGUUGAGGAACGGUCUUUCAAGGAUGAUGGGUGGAUCGUACUCGUCUUCUCCCAUAUCAAUAACCUGGGUCGUCCUUUUUUGGUCAGGAACGAUGACUUAAGUCGACGAUCUUGACUUCCUUGAGCUGCAGUGACCAUCUUAACUGACUCGGUCCACAUUUGCUUGUUCCUGUUCCUCCUGUUGGUCCUCUUCCUUGGUUCAUGUCGGGAUUACUCUAAAAUUUGUGUAGUCUUGUUCUUGAAGGAAAGUCUCAUUCUUCCCCUUGAUGUAGAAACUGAUCUUGGCAGUACUAGCGUAGAUGACAGCUCUCGAGGUGUUCAGGAAUGGCCUACCUAGGAUGAUGGGUGCCCUCUCAUCAGUACCAGUCUCUAUCACCAUAAAGUCUGCUGGAGCGUACAAGGUACCAACUCGGACGCAGAGGUUCUUCAAUAUUUCCUUUGGGAAACUGAGUGUGCGAUCUACAAGCUGAGUAGUUAGGCCUCUGUUGAUUCCAACCUUGAUUUUGUUGAGAACGGUUGUAGUAGUAGUUUUUGUUGUUGAUGUAAUUUACGUCCUCAAGCAUCUCAGGGCAGUGAUUGCCUGAGUGUCCAGUAUCUCCAGUGUGUUUGUGCUCGUAGAUCUAGGUCCUUCACUUGGAAGAAUCUGGGAGUUGUAAAACUGCUUCAGGUUUUACUCGAAGUGUACCUGCUCAUAAAGACAAGGCAGAGAUCAAGUGCAUGGGCCCUGUUGGUGAAAAACACCAACUGAACCAAAAGUGUAUUUGUUCUUCUCUAACCUUAAGCAUAGAGAGCAAGACAAAGUUGAUGGAUAAUAAGAUCAUGAGUGUAGCAUUUAAAACAUUUGUCAGAUCAGAUCGCUCGACCUAAUGGAAAGAUAAUCUAUCUAUAUUUAUGUUUUGUUUAUAUCUUCCAAAGAUUGAAUGUGCACAUUUUAGCUUAUAUGAUUAGGAGUACGGGUUCACGAAGGCAGUACUAAGAACAAAGAUUAAAGGACUAAACAUGUUGAAUUAAUUGGGUUGGUUAAUUUGGAGUUACAAAUCAAACAUGUUUAUCUCUUUUAUUCAUGUGAACGCAAGAACCAAGGAGAAGCUUAUAAAAGCGAUAGUCAAGUACCUUAAGAUGUUACCUUACUUGAUGGUAUAGUAUCACCUUGUGGAAGCUUUCCUUUCUUAGCGGUUGUGCAUCGUGUUUGUGGCACCCUCCAUGCAUCAUCUCUUAUGAGCUAUGCCUUCCUUGUGUAAAUUGUUAACCUUCAUGUGUCUCUCUCUUUGUCUCCAAUGUGAGUUUAUCUUAGGACUUCCCAGGUCGAUAUUGAAAGUUUUUCUGCAGGGGUUAGUCCAACAAAAUAUCCCAUAUCUACUAUUGCAUACUAUCGGCUCAAAAAUCAACCUGGACACCAUGUCUAAUUUGAUUUAGGAGGGCAUUUUAACCUAAGCACCAUGCUUAAUUUAAAAACCCUUGGAAUUAAGAUCAUCAUUCCUAAACUAAGCACCAUGCUUAAUUAAGAGAUAAAUGAAACUACUCCAAACCUAGACAUAUACUAAAGCAAACAAAGGUAGC
rnacentral:lncRNA from 1 species